rnacentral:tRNA from 1 species
CGGCCUGUAGCUCAAUGGUUAGCGCCGGCCGCUCAUAACGGUCUGGUUGCAGGUUCGAGUCCUGCCGGGCCCACCA